rnacentral:rRNA from 1 species
AUUGAACGCUGGCGGCAUGCCUUACACAUGCAAGUCGAACGGCAGCGCGGGAGCAAUCCUGGCGGCGAGUGGCGAACGGGUGAGUAAUACAUCGGAACGUGCCCAAUCGUGGGGGAUAACGCAGCGAAAGCUGUGCUAAUACCGCAUCCGAUCUCCGGAUGAAAGCAGGGGAUCGCAAGACCUUGCGCGAAUGGAGCGGCCGAUGGCAGAUUAGGUAGUUGGUGAGGUAAAGGCUCACCAAGCCUUCGAUCUGUAGCUGGUCUGAGAGGACGACCAGCCACACUGGGACUGAGACACGGCCCAGACUCCUAAGGGAGGCAGCAGUGGGGAAUUUUGGACAAUGGGCGAAAGCCUGAUCCAGCCAUGCCGCGUGCAGGAUGAAGGCCUUCGGGUUGUAAACUGCUUUUGUACGGAACGAAACGGUCUUUUCUAAUAAAGAAGGCUAAUGACGGUACCGUAAGAAUAAGCACCGGCUAACUACGUG